rnacentral:rRNA from 1 species
CGCGUAGGUGGUUUGUUAAGCGAGAUGUGAAAGCCCCGGGCUUAACCUGGGAACGGCAUUUCGAACUGGCAGGCUAGAGUGUGGUAGAGGGUAGUGGAAUUUCCUGUGUAGCGGUGAAAUGCGUAGAUAUAGGAAGGAACACCAGUGGCGAAGGCGGCUACCUGGGCCAACACUGACACUGAGGUGCGAAAGCGUGGGGAGCAAACA